GGCGGAUGUANCCAAGUGGAUCAAGGCAGUGGAUUUGAA
rnacentral:tRNA from 1 species